rnacentral:rRNA from 1 species
AGUGAACGCUGGCGGUAGGCCUAACACAUGCAAGUCGAACGGCAGCACAGUAAGAGCUUGCUCUUACGGGUGGCGAGUGGCGGACGGGUGAGGAAUACAUCGGAAUCUACUUUUUCGUGGGGGAUAACGUAGGGAAACUUACGCUAAUACCGCAUACGACCUACGGGUGAAAGCAGGGGAUCUUCGGACCUUGCGCGAUUGAAUGAGCCGAUGUCGGAUUAGCUAGUUGGCGGGGUAAAGGCCCACCAAGGCGACGAUCCGUAGCUGGUCUGAGAGGAUGAUCAGCCACACUGGAACUGAGACACGGUCCAGACUCCUACGGGAGGCAGCAGUGGGGAAUAUUGGACAAUGGGCACAAGCCUGAUCCAGCCAUACCGCGUGGGUGAAGAAGGCCUUCGGGUUGUAAAGCCCUUUUGUUGGGAAAGAAAAGCAGCAGGUUAAUACCCCGCUGUUCUGACGGUACCCAAAGAACAAGCACCGGCUAACUUCGUG